rnacentral:ncRNA from 2 species
CCGGGUCAUACAGGAGAGAGCGGUCCUUGCGAUCGCCGCCGAAGGCGCAAGUGCACCCGCAAUCGCUCAGGCAAAAGGACUGUAUCAUCGGG